UACGUAGGGAGCAAGCGUUGUCCGGAAUCAUUGGGCGUAAAGCGCGCGUAGGCGGCCUCGUAAGUCCGUUGUGAAAGUCAAAGGCUCAACCUUUGAAAGCCGAUGGAUACUGUGAGGCUAGAGUCCGGAAGAGGCGAGUGGAAUUCCUGGUGUAGCGGUGAAAUGCGCAGAUAUCAGGAGGAACACCAAUGGCGAAGGCAGCUCGCUGGGACGGUACUGACGCUGAGACGCGAAAGCGUGGGGAGCAAACAGG
rnacentral:rRNA from 1 species